rnacentral:rRNA from 1 species
CCUACGGGAGGCAGCAGUGGGGAAUAUUGGUCAAUGGAGGUAACUCUGACCCAGCAACGCCGCGUGAAUGAUGAAGGUCUUCGGAUUGUAAAGUUCUGUGAUGGGGGAUGAACACAAUGACGGUACCCCAAUAGCAAGCCACGGCUAACUACGUGCCAGCAGCCGCGGUAAUACGUAGGUGGCAAGCGUUAUCCGGAUUGACUGGGGGUAAAGGGUGCGUAGGUGGUUUAGUAAGUUGGCGGUGUAAUUCCGGGGCUCAACCUCGGCGCUACCGCGAAAACUAUUAGACGUGAGUGCAGGGGGGGUAAGUGGAAUUCCUAGUGUAGCGGUGGAAUGCGUAGAUAUUAGGAGGAACAUCAGGGGCGAAGGCGACUUACUGGACUGUAACUGACACUGAGGCACGAAAGCGUGGGGAGCAAACAGGAUUAGAUACCCCUGUAGUC